rnacentral:rRNA from 1 species
UACGUAGGGUGCAAGCGUUGUCCGGAAUUAUUGGGCGUAAAGAGCUCGUAGGCGGUUUGUCGCGUCUGCUGUGAAAACUCAGGGCUUAACCCUGAGCCUGCAGUGGGUACGGGCAGACUAGAGUGUGGUAGGGGAGAUCGGAAUUCCUGGUGUAGCGGUGGAAUGCGCAGAUAUCAGGAGGAACACCGGUGGCGAAGGCGGGUCUCUGGGCCGAGUACUGACGCUGAGGAGCGAAAGCAUGGGUAGCGAACAGG